rnacentral:rRNA from 1 species
UGGGAACGCGAAGAACCUUACCAGGGCUUGACAUCCUACUAAUGAAGCAGAGAUGCAUUAAGUGCCCUUCGGGGAAAGUAGAGACAGGUGGUGCAUGGUUGUCGUCAGCUCGUGUCGUGAGAUGUUGGGUUAAGUCCCGCAACGAGCGCAACCCCUAUUGUUAGUUGCUACGCAAGAGCACUCUAGCGAAACUGCCGUUGACAAAACGGAGGAAGGUGGGGACGACGUCAAAUCAUCAUGCCCCUUAUGUCCUGGGCCACACACGUAAUACAAUGGCGGUCAACAGAGGGAUGCUAAGCCGUGAGGUGGAGCGAACCCCUAAAAGCCGUCUCAGUUCGGAUUGCAGGCUGCAACUCGCCUGCAUGAAGUCGGAAUCGCUAGUAAUCGCGGAUCAGCAUGCCGCGGUGAGUACGUUCCCGGGUCUUGUACACACCGAGUCUUGUACAC